GGAAGGGGGAACCCUGAUCUAGCCAUGCCGCGUGAGUGAUGAAGGCCUUAGGGUUGUAAAGCUCUUUCAGCUGGGAAGAUAAUGACGGUACCAGCAGAAGAAGCCCCGGCUAACUCCGUGCCAGCAGCCGCGGUAAUACGGAGGGGGCUAGCGUUGUUCGGAAUUACUGGGCGUAAAGCGCACGUAGGCGGACUGGAAAGUUGGGGGUGAAAUCCCGGGGCUCAACCUCGGAACUGCCUUCAAAACUAUCAGUCUGGAGUUCGAGAGAGGUGAGUGGAAUUCCGAGUGUAGAGGUGAAAUUCGUAGAUAUUCGGAGGAACACCAGUGGCGAAGGCGGCUCACUGGCUCGAUACUGACGCUGAGGUGCGAAAGCGUGGGAGCAAACAGGAUUAGAUACCCUGGUAGUCCACGCCGUAAACGAUGAAUGCCAGACGUCGGGCAGCAUGCUGUUCGGUGUCACACCUAACGGAUUAAGCAUUCCGCCUGGGGAGUACGGUCGCAAGAUUAAAACUCAAAGGAAUUGACGGACUCAUA
rnacentral:rRNA from 1 species